rnacentral:rRNA from 1 species
UACGAAGGGGGCUAGCGUUGUUCGGAAUUACUGGGCGUAAAGGGCGCGCAGGCGGCUCUGAAAGUCAGAUGUGAAAGCCCCGGGCUUAACCUGGGAACUGCAUUUGAUACUCUAGAGCUUGAGUACGGGAGAGGAGAGUGGAAUUCCCAGUGUAGAGGUGAAAUUCGUAGAUAUUGGGAAGAACACCGGUGGCGAAGGCGGCUCUCUGGACCGUAACUGACGCUGAGGCGCGAAAGCGUGGGGAGCAAACAGG